UUUUCGCUUGUUUGUUUGUUUUUUGUUAAUAAUUUUUUACCUGGAACAAUACACUUAACUAACAUAUAGUUUCUAUCCAAAAGCCAGGCUCAGCAGCUAUUGCCCCUUAUGUUAACAGUGAAAAAUAUAAAAUUUCAAAAAAAAAAAACAUACACAUGCUGCUUCAUUAAACUUUUCAACAACCUUUGCUCAUUAAUACAAGAUGAUAAUAUCAAACAAAAGAUAUUAACACAUAGUUAUAAAAAAAAAGACUAUGAAAAAAACAGAGACAUAUAUGAAACAUGUAAAAACCAUAUAGAUUCGAAACAAAAAAUAUAUUAUGAUUAUAUUCCGGAGAAUAAACUUAUAAUAACAGAUAAACAAAAAAGAGAUAACUUUGUUUUAUUUAAUUAUAGUAAUGACGAAGUAGUAUCAUGUAAAGAUUACGUAAAAAAUGAAAGCGCUAAUGAAAAAAAAAAUAAAAAAAAAUGUAAUGUGCAUAACGCAACUCCUAAAUCAAUCAGUUUAGAUUAUGUAGAAGAAUAUAAAAAAUGGUCUAAAACGAUAAAUGAUAAAAAAUUAAAAAAAAACAAAACCGCUGACAAUCAUGGACUAGCUAUAAACACAAAUGAAUAUACCAAUUUAAGCGAAUAUAUAAAUAAUAAUAUCGCUGCUUUAGGAAAAGAAAAUCAGAGCGGUAUAAGUGUUGAGUUCAAAGAGGAACCGAAAAUAGGCGUACCACAAAAAGAUAUGCCAAAAAUAGACACCCUUGAUCCUAAAGGAUCAUCCAACGUUGCAUUGCCCAACGCGACACUCCCCACAUGUACUAAAACAAAUACUUCCAUUAGUAACGACUUAAUGAAUAUUUAUAUAAAUAAUAGUCACUAUUUUAAUUUGGAAACAGAAGAAAUGUGCCCUAGCAGCAUGAAUAUAUGCCAGUAUUGUUCAUACACAGGUAUAUGUAGUUCCAGAUUUGCUGCUAAUAAUUUAAGCAAGGGCAUACUCAAGGUGAAUGAUAAAAUUAUAUACGAAAAUAAAAACAUUGUGUUGACCAAAGAUAAAAUAGAAUUAACUAAUAUUGGAGAAAAAUUAUUAAAAAAUAAAAUAACAAUUAUUAUAAAUAAACCUAAAUAUUAUUUGUCACUUUCAACUGAUAAGAAAUUGAAAAACAAAUUAUUAGUUCGAAAUUUAAUAAGAAAUGAAAAUAAAUAUAUAGAAGAAGAACAUAAAUGUAUGAGCUAUUUUAUUUACCGUAAUAUAGAUAUAAAAAAAAUUAAUAAUUUAUAUGUAUGUGGUAGACUUGAUGGUAAUUCUAGUGGUUUAUUAAUUUAUACUCAAAAUACCCUACUAAGUAAUUUGUUAUUAAAUAAAUAUAAAUAUAAAAUUGAAAAAGAAUAUAUAAUUAAAACAUAUGAUCAAAUAAAUCAAACCAAUUUAAAAUUAUUGAAACAUAAUUUGUUUAUUGACGGAAAGCUAAUAUAUAAAUGCCAUGUACAAUAUGUUGAUAGUUUUACACUCAUUUUUAAAAUAUAUCAAGGCUUUCAUAAAAUAAUAAGGAAAAUGUGUUUACUUUCGAAUAUUAAAAUUAAAUCAUUACAUAGAACAAAAAUAGGUAAUAUUCAAUUAAAUAAUCUACCCGUGGGCAAAUGGAGAUUUCUUAUGCCCAAUGAGUCUUUCUUUUAA
rnacentral:lncRNA from 1 species